rnacentral:rRNA from 1 species
GACGCCGAAGGUGGGGCUAAUGACUGGGGUGAAGUCGUAACAAGGUAGCCGUACCGGAAGGUGCGGCUGGAUCACCUCCUAA